AUUGAACGCUGGCGGCAUGCUUUACACAUGCAAGUCGAACGGCAGCGCGGGCUUCGGCCUGGCGGCGAGUGGCGAACGGGUGAGUAAUACAUCGGAACGUGCCCAGUAGUGGGGGAUAGCUCGGCGAAAGCCGGAUUAAUACCGCAUACGACCUGAGGGUGAAAGCGGGGGAUCUUCGGACCUCGCGCUAUUGGAGCGGCCGAUGGCAGAUUAGCUAGUUGGUGGGGUAAAGGCCUACCAAGGCGACGAUCUGUAGCUGGUCUGAGAGGACGACCAGCCACACUGGGACUGAGACACGGCCCAGACUCCUACGGGAGGCAGCAGUGGGGAAUUUUGGACAAAGCGCGAAAGCCUGAUCCAGCAAUGCCGCGUGUGUGAUGAAGGCCUUCGGGUUGUAAAGCACUUUUGGCGGGAACGAAAAGGACUGUGCCAAUACCACGGUUCGAUGACGGUACCCGCAGAAUAAGCACCGGCUAACUACGUG
rnacentral:rRNA from 1 species